rnacentral:rRNA from 1 species
AGUGAACGCUGGCGGUAGGCCUAACACAUGCAAGUCGAACGGCAGCACAGGAGAGCUUGCUCUCUGGGUGGCGAGUGGCGGACGGGUGAGGAAUACAUCGGAAUCUACUUUUUCGUGGGGGAUAACGUAGGGAAACUUACGCUAAUACCGCAUACGACCUACGGGUGAAAGCAGGGGAUCUUCGGACCUUGCGCGAUUGAAUGAGCCGAUGUCGGAUUAGCUAGUUGGCGGGGUAAAGGCCCACCAAGGCGACGAUCCGUAGCUGGUCGGAGGGGAUGAUCAGCCACACUGGAACUAAGACACGGUCCAGACUCCUACGGGAGGCAGCAGUGGGGAAAAUUGGACAAUGGGCGCAAGCCUGAUCCAGCCAUACCGCGUGGGUGAAGAAGGCCUUCGGGUUGUAAAGCCCUUUUGUUGGGAAAGAAAUCCAGCUGGUUAAUACCCGGUUGGGAUGACGGUACCCAAAGAAUAAGCACCGGCUAACUUCGUGCCAGCCGCCGCCGUAA